UCUAACAUGUGCGCGAGUCAUUGGGAUGAAGUAAAACCUAAAGGCGCAAUGAAAGUGAAGAUCGUCCUUAGCGUCGAUCUAGGGAGGAUGGGCGGCGUUACGAUGCCGCCUCGCACUCCCGGGGCGUCUCGUUCUCACUGCGAGAUGAGGCGCACCCAGAGCGUACACGUUGGGACCCGAAAGAUGGUGAACUAUGCCUGGUCAGGACGAAGUCAGGGGAAACCCUGAUGGAGGUCCG
rnacentral:rRNA from 1 species